GUUUACUUUUCAAAUGUUUAUCUACAUCAAUAUUGGAAAUCAAAUUUCAAAGUCAAUCCAUAAUCGUUGCAAUAUUUACAAAAAAACACAAUUGUGACAUUUCUCAAAGUCUAAUGGCAUCUCUAGAAGGCACAUUUUUAGCAAAGUCAGAACUCACUGGCAAGAAUAUUUCUGUACUUUGCCAAUGAGAGAAAAUAGCUUCACUGUAAACAGUAUAGUACUAAUACCUAAGUAACAAUGAAAACAGAGCCUGUGUCACUAUGAAGUUAUAUCAAACGGGUGCAUUCCACAAAACUAACCAAAAUAAAAUUACAUCUACAUAAAAAAUAAAUAAUUUUUAUUCAAAAAUAGAUAACUCAAAAUACAGUUUGUUUGUUUUUAGAUUGAAACGUUACUACUCAAUGAUGGGAUGUUAUUCUUCCAAUAGGAAAGUCUAUACAAAUAUGUCUGUCUUAUUAUUGAAUGCAUGGUCAGAUCAAAACAUUGAUAUUUCAUGGUGGUAAAUGUACAUUUGUAUUAAUUCAACAAAGUUAAACUAAGCAUUCUCUUUGCCUGUCAUACAGACUUCUUUCUAUUAAUCAUUCAAAUCUGACCAGGGGCACAACACUGAGACAAAGGUUUGAAUGAGUGAAUCAAAAUAGAUUUGUAAAUAU